rnacentral:rRNA from 1 species
GAUGAACGCUGGCGGCGUGCCUAAUACAUGCAAGUCGAGCGAACAGACGAGGAGCUUGCUCCUCUGACGUUAGCGGCGGACGGGUGAGUAACACGUGGAUAACCUACCUAUAAGACUGGGAUAACUUCGGGAAACCGGAGCUAAUACCGGAUAAUAUAUUGAACCGCAUGGUUCAAUAGUGAAAGACGGUUUUGCUGUCACUUAUAGAUGGAUCCGCGCCGCAUUAGCUAGUUGGUAAGGUAACGGCUUACCAAGGCAACGAUGCGUAGCCGACCUGAGAGGGUGAUCGGCCACACUGGAACUGAGACACGGUCCAGACCCCUACGGGAGGCAGCAGUAGGGAAUCUUCCGCAAUGGGCGAAAGCCGGACGGAGCAACGCCGCGUGAGUGAUGAAGGUCUUCGGAUCUUAAAACUCUGUUAUUAGGGAAGAACAAAUGUGUAAGUAACUAUGCACGUCUUGACGGUACCUAAUCAGAAAGCCACGGCUAACUACGUG